rnacentral:tRNA from 1 species
ACAAAUUGAAUUCUAAUAUAUGGCUCGGUAGAGAAGCCGUAAACCUCACGAAUUAUCUUCGGUGCAGGCUUUGCGAU